AUAGUUAUAGCUCAAUGGUUGUGCAUGUGCUUAGUAUGCACAGGGGCCUGGGUUCAAUCCCCAGUACCUCCA
rnacentral:tRNA from 1 species